rnacentral:rRNA from 1 species
CUUUUUCCAACCCCGGGUUGAGACCCUGGUAGUCCACGCCGUCAACGAUGAGAACUAGCUGUUGGGAAGUUCACUUCUUAGUAGCGAAGCUAACGCGUUAAGUUCUCCGCCUGGGGAGUACGGCCGCAAGGUUAAAACUCAAAGAAAUUGACGGGGGCCCGCACAAGCGGUGGAGCAUGUGGUUUAAUUCGAUGCAACGCGAAAAACCUUACCUACCCUUGACAUCCUCGGAACUUGUCAGAGAUGACUUGGUGCCUUCGGGAACCGAGUGACAGGUGCUGCAUGGCUGUCGUCAGCUCGUGUCGUGAGAUGUUGGGUUAAGUCCCGUAACGAGCGCAACCCUCGUCCUUAGUUGCCAGCGAGUCAUGUCGGGAACUCUAAGGAGACUGCCGGUGAUAAACCGGAGGAAGGUGGGGAUGAUGUCAAGUCAUCAUGGCCCUUAUGGGUAGGGCUACACACGUGCUACAAUGGGCAGUACAAAGGGUUGCCAAGCCGCGAGGUGGAGCUAAUCCCAGAAAACUGCUCUUAGUCCGGAUUGGAGUCUGCAACUCGACUCCAUGAAGUUGGAAUCGUAGGUAAUCGCAAAAGGCAAUUAUAA